GACGAACGCUGGCGGCGUGCUUAACACAUGCAAGUCGAACGGAAAGGCCCUGCUUUUGUGGGGUGCUCGAGUGGCGAACGGGUGAGUAACACGUGAGUAACUUGCCCUUGACUUUGGGAUAACUUCAGGAAACUGGGGCUAAUACCGGAUAGGAGCUCCUGCUGCAUGGUGGGGGUUGGAAAGUUUCGGCGGUUGGGGAUGGACUCGCGGCUUAUCAGCUUGUUGGUGGAGUAGUGGCUUACCAAGGCUUUGACGGGUAGCCGGCCUGAGAGGGUGACCGGCCACAUUGGGACUGAGAUACGGCCCAGACUCCUACGGGAGGCAGCAGUGGGGAAUAUUGCACAAUGGGCGGAAGCCUGAUGCAGCAACGCCGCGUGCGGGAUGACGGCCUUCGGGUUGUAAACCGCUUUCGCCUGUGACGAAGCGUGAGUGACGGUAAUGGGUAAAGAAGCACCGGCUAACUACGUG
rnacentral:rRNA from 1 species